rnacentral:lncRNA from 1 species
GGAUGGUUACUGAGCGGCAUGGCAGCGCCUGCCGCAAGAGUGGACUGCAGUCUAGGGAAGGGGCCAGCUGAAAAGAUGUAACUAACAGGCAGGCAGUUAAAUAGCGUGGAUCUGAAUGAGACCAGCGUGGUCGUUGGCGGCGUGGUGGAAUUAGCCUCGAGAGCUCUGUUAGAGCCUAGCAUGGCCAUCUUCUGAAAGGCCCAACAAGCAGCCGACUGAGGCAGACACAGAUACACCCUACCAAUGGACUGAAGUCUGGGAUCCCUGUGGUUGAAUUAGGGAAAGGCUGGAAGAAGCUGAGGAGGAGCGUGAGCCCAGGAGGGAGACCAGUAGUCUCAACUAACCUGGACCCCUGAGAUCUACAGCAGAAGACUGCCUGUUCUGGCCUCAGUGAGAGAAGAAGCAUCUAACCCUUGAGAGCAAGAGACUUGAGGCCCCCAGGGAAUGGGGAGACCAGAAACUCAUCCAUGUGACCCGGAAAGUGCCUUAAACUCAGACCAUUGCCG